ensembl:lncRNA
AGUUUACUAAAAGGUGGCACAUAGAAUGAAAUAUCACGCAGGUAUUAGAAAAGAUGUAGAAAUACAUGACACAGCAAGAUAGUCAUGGUACUGUUGAGUGAAAAAGUUACAAAACAGCAUGUACAAUUUGAUCCCAUUUAAAAAAAUGUAUAACACACAGAAGAGUCUGGAAGGCCAUAUAGCUAAAUAACAGUGGUUUUCCCUGGAUGCCGAAAUUGUAGGCGAUUUUUUAAACUAUUUUUUUAACCAACAUGGCUAUGACUUAUACUAUAAAAGAAGCAUUGACAGUUCUUAAAAAGAAUGAGCAUAGCUCAGCAACCUGAGGCACAGGGAUGUACAUGUUAGUCAAAUACUGCUCUAAUGGUUGUCAGGGUGUUUGAUACUAGUCAUGAAUUAAAAGGCACUGCAUUGAGUGGAAAUGUGUGUAAAGGAUCCAUAUUCCUAGACUCCUUUCACAGCAGCGUGGAUCCUAAGCAGUACCCUCCACUGACGCUAAACACACCCUUAUACCUUCAUACUCACUUGUAGGAAGAGAGCAGUAAGGUUCCUCUAACCUUGAGGGUAAUGUUGUAAGAGUUACAUAAGGCAGGAAUUUUUCAAGUGAUGUCAGACAGUAGGCUUGAAGGUGAAAAGUUCUGUUAGCUCUGCAGUGGUUCUCAAACCUUAGAUUGCAGCAGAGUCACUCAAAUGGUUUUUUACAACAUAUUGCUUGGCACACCCACAGAGCUGCAUUCAGUAGGUCCAGGGGAAGGCUUAGGAAUUCAAAUUCUUUUCUUUCAUUAAACAAGUAUUUACUGAGUAGAUAUCAUGAGCUAGGUCUUUUGCUAAGAUUUGGGAGUUUGGAAUCAAAAGAAUUAUAGCCUGUAUCUCAGGAAGUCUACAUUCUAGAGUGACAGAUAUUACUAAAUGAAUUAUUAAAAUAAUUACAAUUAUUUGUUAGAACAUAGUAAAGAUUUUUGUUUUAAACAUUUAAAAAGCUGUCACAUGAUGAACAAACACUAGUUCCAGAGGCCCUCGAAGAAAAAAGCCAAGUACAAAUAAAGAACGAAUACUGGAAAAUAGUAAUCAGCAUUUUUAACAACUUUCCAGGCGAUGUAGCUAGCCUUGGUCUGGGGUUUCAAACUAUGACAACCACUGCUCUACUGAGUAGAAUUUCCAAUUAGGACGAUGACAUGGGAGAGGGGACAGGUGUGGUUGAGGAAUUUCCUCUCCACCUUUGGAGUCUCACCAUGAGCUAGGAGCCUUGAUCAUCCAGAGGAGGGGUUGAAGAAAAACUGGCUGUGAGGCCAUUUCUCCAUUACAGCUCCUCCCUCAGGCCCGAAGGGAAACUAGGACAAUAUAUUCCAGAAUUUCAGGGAUCCUGGGGAUAAGGAAGGGACUUUUUUAGGAAUCCUGUUGACAAACUAUAGAAGCUGGGUCUCCUUGGGUUAACAUGGCUGCUGUUUAUUGUCCUGACCCUCACCUUCCUCUCUACAGUUCAUCUUAGAAAUUUCCUCCCAACACCAGCUUCCUUUCUGGAUGAAGGAUAACAACAGACUAGAAGAAUGGGCUGCAGCCCACUGAGGAUCUUGGCCCCAUGAGGCAUUUCCUAUAGUAUGAAUUUUUUUGAUUAGCACCAAAAAUUUUUCCUAACACUAUGACCUUAUAGGUCAGAUUGAGGAUAAAGAUAAAU